AAGAGAACAUUGUAAUAAAAGAAGCUGCUAACUAUCUUUUAAAGCGGUUAAAAUCCGUUUUUCUCUUA
rnacentral:tRNA from 1 species